GCGGAGCGGGGGGGCGCCGCGCGCCCGAGGGGCCCGUUAGGGGGUCACGUCUCCGCCGUAUACUUUUAAUAAUAUAGAAAUGACUGUAAAACACUAAAAACUUUCAGAAAAUUUAAUUUUCAGUAGGCUACAGGUGAACAUGGUGACAUAUAUGAACAAGUAGAACCAGUUGAUAACAUACACUAAAAUAAUUUAGCUAUCUAUGAGCGAAUGCUAACCGUUAUUUAGAAAUAUACAAAUAAGCAGUUAGAUCAACUCUGCACUACUUUCUGUUACUCAGUACAGACACAUAAACAAUGGAGCAAUAAACUGUGGAAAGCUGCAGAGAAAAAGAUCUGCCUGCGGGACGUUUCCCCUCUCCGGUGGUCUCUCGUACGGGACGGCCGUCAUCGCGUCUCCGCCGCUCUGCAUAAACGAGACAUCUGCUCCCGAUCUUAACCGUGCCGCCGCCUACAUCGCGGGGAGCUGGUCGACGACAAGCGGCGCCGACUCGCCUCCCGCGCUGCCCGGUGCCCGUGACCCCCGCCUGGACCUCAGCGCGCUGGUUUCCUUGGAGACGGACGGCGGCGGCGGCGGGGAGGAGGCCGGCGAGGAGACCAUUGUGUACCUCUGAGACUCUUUAAGUAGCCAACCCUGCACUCGGAAACCAGACCAAGACAUUCGUCAAGCGCCAGGAUCGGAUGGAGAGUUUUCUCCUUUUAAAAUGAUUAUUUUUUUAUAUUUAAGCGGUGGCUUUGUGGUGUUUUUGUAAGCGUAAAGUGCCUGGAAAGAGAGAAAAUGACGUCGUUUCACGUGUCCUGCACCUUAGCUCCAGGCACCGCCGCGCGUUUUUAUUUCUCUGUGUCCUCGGCUUGGUCCCUCCCAGCUGUUCUGUCCCUCCCGUCACAGGCCCCACGUGUCCUGCCCUCCUAUUUAUUAAAUUGACCAUAAUGGAGGACAAAGCGCCUUCGCCCACAAAGGAGCAGACGGUGUCUCUCCAGCGGCUUCCUUCGUCCGUCAGACUGUCUCUGUUUAUGCACAAGACGCCCGGGUUGAAUGAUGCGGCGCGUUGCCGUCGUUUAUUUCUCUUUAUCCUGUUGUGAGUAAUAAGCGCAGAUGCAGUUCAAAUGUUUCAGCUGUGCCAACUGCGGGAAAAGCGCGUUUUGAUGCCCAAAUGUCCCCGUGAGGGCAAAAAAUAGUUGCGGUGAAACAAUUCUCCUCACAAUGUUUUCUUUCUGAAAACAUUUUCAUUUAUUUAAUUUUAGCCCCAUUCGCGGCGUUUCUAUUGGCUGGACUGUCAUGAUCCUUAUUCCUGUCCCCUGACAAUCAAUCAUAAUUUCCUAGGUGAAACUUUUGGGAAUUCAGCGAUAGAACUGUGUAUGCAAUAUACAAGCUGUAAAGGCUUCUCUCCAUGAGCUUACAAUGCUAAACUAUUACACUUGAAUAUUUACCUUUCUCUUGUGGGCAUUUCGUAUGUAAAGAGAUCCCUGUGCCAACGCUUCAGCAUAUAAAAUAUGUCUAAUUUCUGUCAGUGGCUUUGUUUUGAUGCAAUUUUAGUACCACGUUUGUAUGUUUGUGCUACUAUUUAUUUAUUACAGUACUAAAGAGAUUUACAGUGCUUUGUGAAGGGUUGCAUUGCACCCGGUAGUUUACCUGUGUGAGCAGAGGAACAGGUGUGUUUCUGUUUGUUCGUGUUGUGUGCUCAGCUGUGGCCUGAUUAAAAAAAAAAUACUUUUAUUGAUCUUCAAAUUAGUACUUUCUUUGGGCUAAUAAAUGGGACCCGGGGAACCUUUUUAAAUAAACCAAAAAACAAAUAAUCAAGCUGAUUAAAGCUCAAAAACGACAUACAAAGUAUCCCUCGAGUUUUUGUGAAUGUGAAGCGUCU
ensembl:lncRNA